rnacentral:rRNA from 1 species
GUAGUUAGCCGACACUUAUUCCUGUGCUACCGUCCAUAUUCUUCACACAGAAAAGAACUUUACAACCCGAAGGCCUUCAUCGUUCACGCGGCGUUGCUGCGUCUGACUUUCGUCCAUUGCGCAAUAUUCCUCA